rnacentral:rRNA from 1 species
CUUAACACAUGCAAGUCGAGGGGCAGCAUGGUCUUAGCUUGCUAAGGCCGAUGGCGACCGGCGCACGGGUGAGUAACACGUAUCCAACCUGCCGUCUACUCUUGGACAGCCUUCUGAAAGGAAGAUUAAUACAAGAUGGCAUCAUGAGUCCGCAUGUUCACAUGAUUAAAGGUAUUCCGGUAGACGAUGGGGAUGCGUUCCAUUAGAUAGUAGGCGGGGUAACGGCCCACCUAGUCUUCGAUGGAUAGGGGUUCUGAGAGGAAGGUCCCCCACAUUGGAACUGAGACACGGUCCAAACUCCUACGGGAGGCAGCAGUGAGGAAUAUUGGUCAAUGGGCGAGAGCCUGAACCAGCCAAGUAGCGUGAAGGAUGACUGCCCUAUGGGUUGUAAACUUCUUUUAUAAAGGAAUAAAGUCGGGUAUGGAUACCCGUUUGCAUGUACUUUAUGAAUAAGGAUCGGCUAACUCCGUGCCAGCAGCCGCGGUAAUACGGAGGAUCCGAGCGUUAUCCGGAUUUAUUGGGUUUAAAGGGAGCGUAGAUGGAUGUUUAAGUCAGUUGUGAAAGUUUGCGGCUCAACCGUAAAAUUGCAGUUGAUACUGGAUAUCUUGAGUGCAGUUGAGGCAGGCGGAAUUCGUGGUGUAGCGGUGAAAUGCUUAGAUAUCACGAAGAACUCCGAUUGCGAAGGCAGCCUGCUAAGCUGCAACUGACAUUGAGGCUCGAAAGUGUGGGUAUCAAACAGGAUUAGAUACCCUGGUAGUCCACACGGUAAACGAUGAAUACUCGCUGUUUGCGAUAUACUGCAAGCGGCCAAGCGAAAGCGUUAAGUAUUCCACCGGGGGAGUACGCCGGCAACGGUGAAACUCAAAGGAAUUGACGGGGGCCCGCACAAGCGGAGGAACAUGUGGUUUAAUUCGAUGAUACGCGAGGAACCUUACCCGGGCUUAAAUUGCAGAUGAAUUACGGUGAAAGCCGUAAGCCGCAAGGCAUCUGUGAAGGUGCUGCAUGGUUGUCGUCAGCUCGUGCCGUGAGGUGUCGGCUUAAGUGCCAUAACGAGCGCAACCCUUGUUGUCAGUUACUAACAGGUUCCGCUGAGGACUCUGACAAGACUGCCAUCGUAAGAUGUGAGGAAGGUGGGGAUGACGUCAAAUCAGCACGGCCCUUACGUCCGGGGCUACACACGUGUUACAAUGGGGGGUACAGAGGGCCGCUACCACGCGAGUGGAUGCCAAUCCCCAAAACCUCUCUCAGUUCGGACUGGAGUCUGCAACCCGACUCCACGAAGCUGGAUUCGCUAGUAAUCGCGCAUCAGCCACGGCGCGGUGAAUACGUUCCCGGGCCUUGUACACACCGCCCGUCAAGCCAUGGGAGCCGGGGGUACCUGAAGUGCGUAACCGCGAGGAGCGCCCUAGGGUAAAACUGGUGACUGGGA